rnacentral:rRNA from 1 species
GACGAACGCUGGCGGCGUGCUUAACACAUGCAAGUCGAACGGUGAAGGGGUCUGCUUUUGUGGGCCCUGGAUGAGUGGCGAACGGGUGAGUAACACGUGAGUAACCUGCCCCCUUCUUCUGGAUAACCGCAUGAAAGUGUGGCUAAUACGGGAUAUUCUGGGUCUGUCGCAUGAUGGGUCUGGGAAAGAUUGCGCCUUUGGGUGUUUUUGGUGGGGGAUGGGCUCGCGGCCUAUCAGCUUGUUGGUGGGGUGAUGGCCUACCAAGGCGGUGACGGGUAGCCGGCCUGCGAGGGUGGACGGUCACACUGGGACUGAGACACGGCCCAGACUCCUACGGGAGGCAGCAGUGGGGAAUAUUGCACAAUGGGCGCAAGCCUGAUGCAGCGACGCCGCGUGAGGGAUGGAGGCCUUCGGGUUGUAAACCUCUUUCGCCAGUGAAGCAGGCCUGCUCCUUGUGGGUGGGUUGACGGUAGCUGGAUAAGAAGCGCCGGCUAACUACGUG